rnacentral:tRNA from 1 species
GGCCCCGUAGCUCAGCUGGAUAGAGCACCGGACUUCUAAUCCGACGGUCGUGGGUUCGAAUCCUACCGGGGUCGCCA